GACGAACGCUGGCGGCGUGCUUAACACAUGCAAGUCGAGCGGUAAGGCCCUUCGGGGUACACGAGCGGCGAACGGGUGAGUAACACGUGGGUGACCUGCCUCUAGCUCUGGGAUAAGCCUGGGAAACUGGGUCUAAUACCGGAUAUGACUCCACGGCGCAUGUUGUGGGGUGGAAAGCCUUGUGUGGCUAGAGAUGGGCCCGCGGCCUAUCAGCUUGUUGGUGGGGUGAUGGCCUACCAAGGCGACGACGGGUAGCCGGCCUGAGAGGGCGACCGGCCACACUGGGACUGAGACACGGCCCAGACUCCUACGGGAGGGCAGCAGUGGGGAAUCUUGCGCAAUGGGCGAAAGCCUGACGCAGCGACGCCGCGUGAGGGAUGACGGCCUGG
rnacentral:rRNA from 1 species